CAAACGCUUCUGGAAGACAGCAAAAGAGGAAACAAACGACACAUUUCCACCCAAAAGCUGUGUAGGAAGGAGGUCGGGAGCCGAGCGGGGACGGAGAUCUGUAGUCGGGACGACGCGCGGCAGCUUAGCGGAGGACCGGGCUCGGACUGACGGGACGCGGAGCCGCUCAGCGCCGCCGCGACACUUGUGCAGACACCAGAGGACACCGCUGACUUUCUCCCGCUUCAUUUCCGCCCGAUGCCCCGGUUUCCAGCCCGAAGUGGUGUCCGGGCCGCGCGGGGGUAGCCGACGAGUUUCAUGAGACCUGUGUGGGAGGAAAAACUGGGAUCCAAUGUAAAGACACAGCAGUGAAGUGAAGGCAGCCGACCACCGUGGGCGGAGACGAGGCGGAGCACACGACGCAGGAGGCCGGGGGGAAUCAUUAGCUGCACACAAACACACACAGUAUGACUGGUAGGUGAUGUUCUGCACAUGUCCCGUGUGUUUGCUGCAUGCAUGUCGGUUUCUGUGUUUACACAUCCCACACCGGGCAGCAGCUGGUCCAGAGUCAGUGCUGUUUGUGUAAUGGUUCAUUAUCUUUAUCUCUUCUCUAAACGUGCACAGUGAUUCGUCACACGUGCUCAUACACUCUGUCCGUGGUCCCGUCUCAGACACUCACAGGUCUGAAGCUGAUAACAGGAAGCUCCUCUGACGAGCGGCUCCUCUGAGCCACCUCGACUCAUUUCUGUGCAUCAAGUCUUGAUUGAUUGAUUG